rnacentral:rRNA from 1 species
GAUCAAGCUACAAAGGGCGCACGGUGAAUGCCCUGGCACUAGGAGCUGAUGAAGGACGUGAUAAGCUGCGAUAAGCUUCGAGUAGGUGCAAAUAACCUGUGAUUCGAAGAUGUCCGAAUGGGGAAACCCGGCAGGCUAACGCCUGUCACUAUAUGCUGAAUACAUAGGUAUAUAGAGGUAGACUCGGGGAACUGAAACAUCUAAGUACCCGAAGGAAGAGAAAGAAAAAUCGAUUUCCUGAGUAGCGGCGAGCGAAACGGAAAGAGCCCAAACCAGGAACUUGUUCCUGGGGUUGAGGAUAGAACAUAACGCUUUGAUUUUCUUAGCCAAAUAUAACUGGAAAGUUAAGCCGCAGAAGGUAAUAGCCCUGUAGGCGAAAAGAAAAGAAAAGUAGUUCUACUCCAGAGUACCACGAGACACGAGAAACCUUGUGGGAAGCAGGGAGGACCAUCUCCCAAGGCUAAAUACUACCUAGUGACCGAUAGUGAAGCAGUACCGUGAGGGAAAGGUGAAAAGAACCCCGGAAGGGGAGUGAAAUAGAACCUGAAACCGUGUGCCUACAAACGGUCGGAGCACUUUAUAUGUGUGACGGCGUGCUUUUUGUAGAACGAGCCAGCGAGUUACGAUAUACAGCAAGGUUAAGCACUUAAGGUGUGGAGCCGAAGGGAAACCGAGUCUGAAUAGGGCAACUAGUUGUAUGUCGUAGACCCGAAACCGAGUGACCUAUCCAUGGCCAGGUUGAAGCGAAAGUAAAAUUUCGUGGAGGACCGAACCACGUUGGUGUUGAAAAACCAUGGGAUGAGCUGUGGAUAGCGGAGAAAUUCCAAUCGAACUCGGAGAUAGCUGGUUCUCCUCGAAAUAGCUUUAGGGCUAGCGUCGGGUAAUUAAGUAAUGGAGGUAGAGCACUGAAUGGGCUAGGGGGCAUAGCGCUUACCGAACCCUAUCAAACUCCGAAUGCCAUAUACUUGUAUCCCGGCAGUCAGGCUGCGAGUGAUAAGAUCCGUGGCCAAAAGGGAAACAGCCCAGACCAUCAGCUAAGGUCCCAAAGUGUAAGUUAAGUGGGAAAGGAUGUGGGAUUUCUAAGACAACUAGGAUGUUGGCUUAGAAGCAGCCACUCAUUUAAAGAGUGCGUAAUAGCUCACUAGUCGAGAGAUCCUGCGCCGAAGAUGUACCGGGGCUAAAACUUACCACCGAAGCUAUGGAUGUACACUACGUGUACGUGGUAGAGGAGCUUUCUACACAGGCUGAAGCCAUACCGUAAGGAGUGGUGGACAGUGUAGAAGUGAGAAUGCUGGCAUAAGUAGCGAGAAACAGGUGAGAAUCCUGUUGGCCGAAUAUCUAAGGUUUCCUGGGGAAGGCUCGUCCUCCCAGGGUUAGUCGGGACCUAAGCCGAGGCCGAAAGGCGUAGGUGAUGGACAACUGGUUGAUAUUCCAGUACCACCAAUAUGCGUUUGACAGAUGGGAUGACGCAGGAGGAUAGGAUGUGCACACUAUUGGAUGUGUGUUCAAGCACUUAGGAGGACUAGACAGGAAAAUCCGUUUAGUCAUAACUCUGAGGUGUGAUGAGGAGCCAAUUGAGGCGAAGUAUCUGAUUCCACGCUGCCAAGAAAAGUCUCUAUGGAGUAUGUUGGUGCCCGUACCGCAAACCGACACAGGUAGAUGAGGAGAGAAUCCUAAGGCCGGCGGAAGAAUUACUGCUAAGGAACUCGGCAAAUUGACCCCGUAACUUAGGGAGAAGGGGUGCCUACGAGAGUAGGCCGCAGUGAACAGGCCCAAGCAACUGUUUAUCAAAAACACAGGUCUCUGCUAAAGCGUAAGCUGAUGUAUAGGGGCUGACGCCUGCCCGGUGCUGGAAGGUUAAGGGGAAUGGUUAGUCUUCGGGCGAAGCCAAGAACUUAAGCCCCAGUAAACGGCGGCCGUAACUAUAACGGUCCUAAGGUAGCGAAAUUCCUUGUCGGGUAAGUUCCGACCCGCACGAAUGGCGUAAUGAUUUGGGCACUGUCUCGGCAGUAAAUCCGGUGAAAUUGAAGUGUGAGUGAAGAUGCUCACUACCCGCGGUUGGACGGAAAGACCCCGUAGAGCUUUACUGUAGCUUAGCAUUGAAUUUCGGUAUUGUCUGUACAGGAUAGGUGGGAGACUGAGAAUCAGGGGCGUCAGCUUCUGAGGAGUCGACCUUGGGAUACCACCCUGACAGUAUUGGAAUUCUAACUGGCGGCCAUGAAUCUGGUCACAGGACAUUGCUAGGUGGGCAGUUUGACUGGGGCGGUCGCCUCCUAAAAGGUAACGGAGGCGCCCAAAGGUUCCCUCAGCGCGGUCGGAAAUCGCGCGAAGAGUGUAAAGGCAGAAGGGAGCCUGACUGCGAGACAUACAGGUCGAGCAGGGACGAAAGUCGGGCUUAGUGAUCCGGUGGUUCUGAAUGGAAGGGCCAUCGCUCAACGGAUAAAAGCUACCUCGGGGAUAACAGGCUGAUCUCCCCAAGAGUCCACAUCGACGGGGAGGUUUGGCACCUCGAUGUCGGCUCGUCGCAUCCUGGGGCUGUAGUCGGUCCCAAGGGUUGGGCUGUUCGCCCAUUAAAGCGGCACGCGAGCUGGGUUCAGAACGUCGUGAGACAGUUCGGUCCCUAUCCGCCGUGGGCGCAGGAAAUUUGAGAGGAGCUGUCCUUAGUACGAGAGGACCGGGAUGGACCAACCUCUGGUGCACCAGUUGUCACGCCAGUGGCACAGCUGGGUAGCUAUGUUGGGAAGGGAUAAACGCUGAAAGCAUCUAAGCGUGAAGCCCACCUCAAGAUUAGAUUUCCCAUAGCGUAAGCUAGUAAGACCCCUGGAAGACUACCAGGUUGAUAGGUCAGAGGUGUAAGCGUGGUAACAUGUUAAGCUGACUGAUACUAAUAGGUCGAGGGCUUGAUCAA